GGGCGUAAAGAGCUCGUAGGCGGUCUGUCGCGUCGGAUGUGAAAACUCGGGGCUCAACCCCGAGCCUGCAUUCGAUACGGGCAGACUUGAGCUCGGCAGGGGAGACUGGAAUUCCUGGUGUAGCGGUGAAAUGCGCAGAUAUCAGGAGGAACACCGGUGGCGAAGGCACUUCUCUGGGCUGUAACUGACGCUGAGGAGCGAAAGCGUGGGGAGCGAACAGGAUUAGAUACCCUGGUAGUCCACGCCGUAAACGUUGGGCGCUAGAUGUGGGUCACAUUCCACGUGAUCCGUGUCGCAGCUAACGCAUUAAGCGCCCCGCCUGGGGAGUACGGCCGCAAGGCUAAAACUCAAAGGAAUUGACGGGGGCCCGCACAAGCGGCGGAGCAUGCGGAUUAAUUCGAUGCAACGCGAAGAACCUUACCAAGGCUUGACAUAUAGUGGAAAACUGCAGAAAUGUAGUCCCCCGCAAGGGUCGCUAUACAGGUGGUGCAUGGUUGUCGUCAGCUCGUGUCGUGAGAUGUUGGGUUAAGUCCCGCAACGAGCGCAACCCUCGUCCUAUGUUGCCAGCACGUAAAGGUGGGAACUCAUGGGAGACUGCCGGGGUCAACUCGGAGGAAGGUAAU
rnacentral:rRNA from 1 species